rnacentral:lncRNA from 1 species
GAGUCAACAUUUUGGAUUUUUUAUAAAAGUGAAAUUUUUAAGACAAAAAUAGUCUGAUGUUAAUACAUCUUUUCAUGGAAACCAUUCAUAAACAAACAUACUAAUCUGUUAAGUUACUCUCUCACAAUGUUAAAAUAAUUGUUCCCAUAAGUACACCACAUUUAAAAGUACCAUUGAAAGAAUAAUAUCUAACCGAACAAUCUACAUACUGCUGUUGGUAACAAAAUCUGAUUGUAAAAAUACAACGUAUUGUAUUUUCGUAAUUUUAUGGAAAUUUCAAGUCAAGCCUAUAGGAAAUUAUACUUUGUUGAAAUGUAAAUAUUCAGGAUUGUCUUUUAUUUACAAAAUCCUUGAUAAUUGGUACCCAGCCAAUAAUAUUUAAUUCACAUUAGCUAGAUUGCACUCUCACCACACUAUUGAUAAAGUUUCUACUAUUUGCUGGUGAGAGACAUGUAAAAUCAAGGUUAUUUGCAUAUCUGUCAAUUCGCCUAUUCAGAAUCUAAUGCAUUCUGGGUAAUAUUUUCAAAAACGUACCCCAUAACAUUGUGAUUGGUUUAAAACGUUCUAAAUAAUGGAAAUUCAACCAAUGAUGAAAAGUUAUUUUCAUUUUGGUGUAGAAACAAUGAAAUUACCCAUAGUCCUUUAAAUUCUGAAAAGACGAAUUACAAAGUACUAAAUGGAUUACUACUAAUUAGAUAACUCCAUUACUGCCCCCCCUUAAGCCAUGAAAAGUACAAUUCAUUGAUCUUUUAUCGGAAAAUGAACUGUCAAUGAUAUUUUUAAAUGCAGUGCAUGAUGUAUAUAAGUAACAACACAUAAAUUUCCCCAAAAAUGAAAUUUUGUAUAACAUAACAACAGCACAAAAUAGACAUCUAAACUUUGCAUAAAAAAAACCAAGAUGCAAAUUUUAGCUAAAAUCCAGUAACUCAAUUUUAAUUUAUUCUCAAAAUAAGGUAUUUGAUGCAAUUUUAAGUAAAUUUUCCAAGGUAGGCUGGUAGGUCGCAUGUUCAAAGGUAAGAAUUUUUAUCACAAAUGAAAGUUGUUGGUUAAUUGUUAACACCAUAUUAUGCUAAAAUAUAGAACACUAAAACUUGUAAGAUCAUUUGAGAAAUAUUAUUUAUAGAAAUAAUUCUUAAAUUUCCUUACAUGUAAUAGUGUUCUAUAUUCUCACUGAAAAUCAAUUGCACAAUUUUUAAAAAGAUUAUGAAUUCUCUCAUAACCUUAUACAUGUAUUGUAAAUGAAGAAAUUGCUUCAAAGCUUUUACUAAUGGUAAUAAUGCAACACUUUUGUGCUCACUAAUAAAAGAUUAAGCUCAAAUUCAUAAUUUAAGUAGCUAUUUUCCUUCACAAUUUUUUUGCAAUCUCUUAAUUAGAUUACCCAUUUUCAUCAGUACUCUGAGGUUUUGCAAAAAUAUAACCAAUGAAGGACGCAGAUCAAAGAACCAAGCGUUCAUUAUAAAAAGAAAAUCCACCGGUCAGGAAAAGUAUAAAUCGACUAAGAAUUACAGAAAACAAAUAUGAAAGUCUGUCCACUAGACAUACAUAAAAACAAUUUAUGAUUUGUUUUUCAGUUAAAAAAAAACCAAGAGGUCAAAUAAACAAACAAAAAAACAUCAACAAUGCUUUGAAAAUAAAUCUAAGCUUCAAUUGCUUUUGUAAUACAUGUAUAAUCUUUCAGUUUAGAAAACAACCCAUCUCCGCAUCUUCCAAUCAGGAGGAAAAUUGUUUUUUAUCUUUCAGUCUAGAAAAAAACCCAACAUUUUCUUAUUUUUCAGGCUAAAAAAAAAUAAUCUAAAUUAUAGAAAUAAACCAUGAUAUUAUUAUCAUCUGUGCUGUAUUAAACAUAGAAAUAUGUAUGAUGAGAAAAUCAAAUAUCAAUCAAACUCUGUAGCAUGAUAAAAUUUAAACCAUAAUUUCUUUAAAAUUUUCAUCGUAAACAUGAUUAACACAACAUUUUUUGAGAUGUUUGUUUUUUGGUUCUCAAAGAUAGUUUCUUUUAUGUGAAUAAUAUAAUUAAGGUUAUACUGUUGACAUGAGUUGCCUCCCCUUUCUGUUUUCUUCCCUAUACAUAAUAUAUUAUUACAGAAAAUACUACCUUUAUUAAAGGCACAAGAAAGAUAUUAGAAAAUCUUAGAAUUCAUAUUUCAAGAUUAAUUUCAUUUCACACUAAGUGUCUGCUAAAUUGUUAAUCAAAAUAUAUUUACUACACUUAAAGACCAACAUUUGUAGGUAGUUUUUAAAAAAUAAGUAUGCUAUUCUGCACUUCUGAAUAGUAUUAUCAUCCACAGUCCUAUAAAAUUACUGUUGAUUCAUAAUUAUUCAUUUAAUACCAAUUUUCUUAAGAUAACCUGGGUAUUGUUGACUAAACAAAGCACAAAAUGUAAAUAACCUUGUAUGCAGACUUUGUCAAAACCAUAUAAUCAAAUACCCAUUCAAAUAAAAUCAUUCCAACAUAUGUCAUAUUUGCAGGAGACAGUUUAUAUUCAAUAGCAUUUUUCCUCCAAAAAGAGUAAUACCAUAAACAAUAUGAACAGUUUUAUAUCAAAUUUGUUUGUUUAGGCUUUACAAACAGGAAAAAAAAAGCAUUUAAUAUUUACAGCAAUGUGUAACAUAAUAUACUAUUGAAUGUGGAGACCCUACAUCAGUGUCAAAUCCACUACUCAAAAUCCAUUAUUAUAACAUAAUAGUCACCCAAUAAAACUGCAGAUAUUUUUUUUGUUUUUGCGAUGAAUAUCUUUGUGAUUUGAAGUCCACAUCUAAUAUUAGCAGGGAUAAAUGGAAGUAUAAUGUUAAUUCUGAACUAUUUGUGAUAUUUUUACUACAUUGUAAAGCAAAAUUUUCUACAGGACAGUUUUCCUAUAACAAAAACUUUGAAUUAAAUUAUUUUUCGCAUUUUUUGUAUGCAUUUUUCUAAAAUUGUAUAAAAUAAGUAUUUAACACAAAAAAAAAAGCAUUGCAAUAAUAUCUGAAUUAACAGUAUUUUUAUUUAUCCAAUCAUUGCCCCUUUUAAAAUGACAAUACAUUUCACUUCGAACAAGACAAAAUACACAAAAUUGAAGGUAUGUUGAAGAAGAGAUUUCUAUGUAAAAACAAAGAACCAUGCACUCAUGAGCUUGACAAUAUUAAAAACUUAAUAAACCUACUUUUAAUUCCUCACUCACCUCAAAAAUACUCAAUCUCAAAAUCAAGUUCAAAGGAAAAUCAACUACAGUAAACCAACUGAUUUUUGCGAAUGAUUUAUUUUUUUGCGACUGUUGCUUUUAGGAAAACAACGUCUAUAUAAAUUGUUUUGAAUACAAUAAAUGUAUGUCUUCCAUUGUGUAAAUAUAACAACAAAAAGUUGAAAAUCUAGAAAAUAAAAAUAUAGUUUCCCCUAAAAGAAAGUUG